UCUUCAUUUCUCUUCAUAUUCAUCAGCUGAAAAACAGCCAUGGAGGAGGGUUCAAGCUGGUUUUCAUACUCUAGCUUCAUGUAAGUUUAAUUCUUGCUUUCUCCUUGACAUUUUUAUGUUUUUGUGACUUUUACAACUAGGUCCACUUGUUGAAUUCAUUAGUUUUUGAUUCUAUGAAAGAAAUUGAAAGUUGAUAUAAAUAUGUGCUGGAAUUAUAUGAUGAUUUGGCAUGGAAUUAGAGCUUUAAAUUAUUUAUAUGCUGAUUUUAUUGAAAGAAUUGAAUAGAAAGUGAAUGUUUGGGACCUAAUUGUAAAAGAAUUUGAAGUUAGAGUUUCAUAUGGAAAUUAUGAAUUUCAAUAGUUAUGAAAUAACUUAUAAUGUCGAGAAAAAGUAUUAAUUGAGAAAAUUAUCUUAAUUGAGGAGUUAAUUGAGCAAGGACUGAAUUGUAUGAAUUGUGAAAUUUGGGGCAAAAUGGAAAUCAACAUUUUGCACUAAAACUGUUUUAGACAGCAGAGUAGUCUAACUUUGAAAAAUCACCAAAAAUUAUAUAAAUCGAAUUAUAGGAUGAAUAAAAUAUGAAAUUAAAGCUUAUUGAGUCUAGUUUCUUAUAAAAUAAAUUAUGUAAGCAAUGGAAUUGUAAAUCAUGAGAUACAAUAACUUUUGUGAGAUAAGGUCAGAAUGAUUUCGAGUUCCCCUGUUCUGACUUUGGAAAAUCAUAAAAAAUUGGAUAAAAAUAAUUAGGGGAUUAAAUUUAUAUGUUUGGAAUUCUGAAUGAGUCUAUUUUCAAGAGAAAUAAACGAGGACAUCAUUUGAAUCCUGUACAAGAAGAUAAUUAAUUUUUAGUGAAGAAGGGUCGGAACUGUCAGACAGCAGAACAGGGGAGACUUUAAUGAAUAAAAUGUAUUAAUUGGCCCAACCAAAAAUUAUGAAAUUUUUAUGGUAAGAAGGUAUAUGAGUCUAGUUUCAGGGAAAAUUAUAGGAUCUUAAUUUGGAGUUCUGUAGCUCAAGAUAAAAAUAAUUUAGUGACUAUGACACAGAUGGACAGCUUGAAUAUUCACAUAAGUAGAUAGUGAAAAUUAUGGAUAAUGUUACCUACAAGAGUGUUGUUUAUACUAAGGAUGUGGAAUGGAGAGGAGGAGGAGGAAAAAUAUGUAUGAAUAUUCAGCUAGCAUGGCUAAUUUGUAUGUUUUUGGCUCAAGGACUAAAUUGAAUAAAAGUAAAACUUUAUGGGUAAUUUUGUAAAAAUAUCGAAAAUGACUAAAUUGAAAGGAAUGAAUUAUUUUAUUAUCUAAAUUAGUAAAUUGAAUGAAAUUAUCAAUUUAAGAUUGGGUGAAAUUUGGGAAUAUGGUAAAUCACCAAUAUGCCCCUAAAACUUGGUAUUUCUGCAAUUUAGUCAGGUAGGUUCGUAUAUCCUGCAUGAGCAUGUAAAUAUGAAAAUUUAAGUAUUGUAUCGUAUUUUAUAUGAUAUUUUGAAUUGAAUAUAUGAAAAGAAUGUUACAUGAAACAUGAAAAUGAAUACUAAAUAAUAUAAAUUAAUUGAAAUUAUUCUGAAAAUCUCGGUAAUGCCUCGUAUCCUAUCCCGGUCUCAGGUACGGGUAUGGGGUAUUACAAUGCUCAUCCGUUCUCUCUCUCCCACAAGUCGAUAUGAUGCAGAUCUUCGAUGACUUAGGGUGCCAGUGGAAUUGUUUACCUGAACUUGAAUUGCCGCAAUACUCUAUCCAACUCGUGCAUCUCCACAACUAUCUCAGUCAUUGAUAUAGUUUAAAUUGUAUUGUUGAAUUAGAAUGAACUCAACUAUAAAUAAAAAUAUUUUCCUCAUUUUUAAUCAUUAAAUUAAAAAAUAAUUAAACACUCAAAACGUUUACUCAAACACAUUGUGUGGAAA
rnacentral:lncRNA from 1 species